UUACGCCAGAGGAUGUCAGCCUUUUUCCAAGAAGCUCCUUUGUUUCUUUGGGCAGAGUGCUGUCCGAGAGGCAGGGCCUGCUACAGAAGGCUGCCUCCCCCACGCCUCCCCUACUGCUCUCAGUUCUUCGGAAUCUGUGGUUGGGCCUGUUCAUCUCCCGGUCGCUGCUGAAUCUUCUGGCAUCGCUGACAGCCACACUGCAGGAGGAAAAUGAUCAAAUUUAGCUGCCAAGAGCAUGGAUCCUGGCACCGAACUGGCUGCUUUUGAGACCUGGAUCUCCUGCUUUAAACCUGUAUGGCCUUGGUGACAGAGUCUUGCUAUCUUGCCCAGGCUGGAAUGCAGUG